CAAUAGCGUAUACUAAUGUUGUUGCAGUUAAAAAGCUCGUAGUUGAACUUCUGGUAGGAGUGUCCCGGCCUUUUUGUUUUUACAAAUUGUAUGCUGUGUGACAUCUCUGGCCAUCCUUCUUCUUUGUUUAAAGAAGAUCUUUCACUGUAAAAAAAUUAGGGUGUUCAAAGCAAAAGUUUCUUUGGAAUAUAUUAGUAUGGGAUGAUAAGAUAGGCUCUAGAUGCUAUUUUGUUGGCUUGCACAUUUAGAGAAUGAUUAACAGGGACAGUUGGGGGUAUUCGUAUUUACAUGUCAGAGGUGAAAUUCUUGGAUUUUGGAAAGACGAACUACUGCGAAAGCAUUUACCAAGGAUGUUUUCAUUAA
rnacentral:rRNA from 1 species